rnacentral:rRNA from 1 species
UACGUAGGGGGCGAGCGUUGUCCGGAUUUAUUGGGCGUAAAGAGCGUGUAGGCGGUUCGGUAAGUCUGUCGUGAAAUCCUGAGGCUCAACCUCGGGCGUGCGAUGGAUACUGCCGGGCUAGAGGGUGGUAGAGGCGAGUGGAAUUCCCGGUGUAGCGGUGAAAUGCGCAGAUAUCGGGAGGGACACCAGUAGCGAAGGCGGCUCGCUGGGCCACACCUGACGCUGAGACGCGAAAGCUAGGGGAGCGAACAGG